UUCAUAUUAUUGUUAUUCCAAUGGAAGUAUUGUGAGACGUAGCUGUGUUACAUGGAACAGCACCUCGUCACAUAAUCGCAAAGGGACAAAAAUCGACAACGGACUAUGUUUUUACAGCGUUCCUGCUUGGCGGCGGCAAGUAAAAGGGAAUUCUAGUAGUUUCAGAUUACGUCAGAUGGUCUUGAUGUCAUCUGUAAAAAAAUAAAUAAUCUAACCUGCAACAAUAUCAUGACCUCGACAAGAGUGUGCUCCUUACACUUUCAUUACGGGUCGUGGGGCGCUGGAGCCCAUCCCAGCUGACUUCGGGCGAAAGGCGGACUACACCCUGAACUAGUCGCCAGUCAGUCGCAGGGCACAACCUUGCAUGUCAAGUUGCUGAACCUGCAGUCAUCAAUUGGUCAAGCUCAUCAAGUUUUCAGAUGACACCACCCUUACUCGACUUGACUCUGAUGGCUACAGGAGGACAUUUUUCACCAUGGACAACACACAGAAGCAUUUACUUUUACAAAUAAUCAGCAACAUCUCGGCCGCGCUCCUGUCAUCAAUCACCCCUCAUCAUCACCUGUAUAAAAGCCUGCCAGAACCUGGAAACUCUCGCCGGAGUAUUAACGCUCUCUUGCGGUACCACGGCUUCUCACUACUCACUUCCUCGCGUCCUCUCUGACCUAAUUGUCCUCAGUGUUCCCUCCGUGUUCCUCGCAUCCACGACGUCAAGCCAGCCGCCUGUCCUCACCACCGCCUACCACACGUUCCCUGGCUCAACAACCCGCCAGCUUAUCUCAAGGACCAUCUCCAUUCCCCUUGGUUCAAUAAAACUUUUCAUCACAACCUCUCAGCCUCCGCUUGCUCUUGGGUCCCGUCUGGAUCAACUCGUGACAGAAUACUCUGGCCCGAAUGGACCCAGCAACCCUGGAGGCGCGAAAACGGAGGCGCCUCCCAAUCAAAGAACCUCAUGUACCUCUGCCCGAGCCCUACUCCGGGGACCUAGGUGCAUGUAGCCAGUUUCUACUUAAUUGGUCACUCGUUUUCAAUCUUCAACCGUACAGUUAUUCCACUGAACAAACCAAGGUCGCAUUUGUCACUAACCUCCGUGGCAAAGCAGCCAAAUGGUC